ACGAACGCUGGCGGCAGGCCUAACACAUGCAAGUCGAGCGCUACCUUCGGGUGGAGCGGCGGACGGGUUAGUAACGCGUGGGAAUAUACCCAGUUCUAAGGAAUAGCCACUGGAAACGGUGAGUAAUACCUUAUACGCCCUUCGGGGGAAAGAUUUAUCGGAAUUGGAUUAGCCCGCGUUAGAUUAGAUAGUUGGUAGGGUAAUGGCCUACCAAGACUGUGAUCAAUAGCUGAUUUGAGAGGAUGAUCAGCCACAUUGGGACUGAGACACGGCCCAAACUCCUACGGGAGCAGCAGUGGGGAAUCUUGC
rnacentral:rRNA from 1 species